rnacentral:rRNA from 1 species
UACGUAGGGUGCGAGCGUUAAUCGGAAUUACUGGGCGUAAAGCGUGCGCAGGCGGUUUUGUAAGUCCGGCGUGAAAUCCCCGAGCUUAACUUGGGAAUGGCGCUUGUGACUGCAAGGCUAGAGUAUGUCAGAGGGGGGUAGAAUUCCACGUGUAGCAGUGAAAUGCGUAGAGAUGUGGAGGAAUACCGAUGGCGAAGGCAGCCCCCUGGGACGUCACUGACGCUCAUGCACGAAAGCGUGGGGAGCAAACAGG